CUGGUAGCCUCACCUAUAUUUCCUGCCUGGCUAAUGGCCAAUCAGCAUUUAUUCAUCAACCAAUAAGAGAAGCAUAUGUUUGUAGCAUACAGAAGGUCACACCCUAUCACAUCUCUCCGAGGGCUGGAAAGAUUGCUCAGUGCUUAAGGAGCACUUACUGCUAUGCCAUGGGACGCAGAGUCUGCUUCCAGCAGCUGUGUGCUGACUCGUGCCCACUUGUAACUCCGGUUGCAGGGGACCAAUGUCCUUGUCUGCCCUACACAGGCUCAACGUGUGCACAGUGAACAGACCUGCAUGCAGGCAAGCACUCACACACACAUAAAUAAAUAACUCCUUUGACAGCCAUUUGAUAUUGCCUCUUGCUUUUCAGAACUUCAGAAACGCUUCGUCAUUGUGCCACGCAAGAGGAAAAGAUGAAGACGGUGAGAACAGAAAGCCAGAGGACGUUGUAGGACAGUUUCCUGUGACCUGGAGAAGAUUUCUGGUUGUGUUUCAAAGACUUGUGCUGGUGGUGACUGCUCCUACCUUCUUACUAGCAGAGGUCCAAUGAUGAGAAAAAAAUGAGAAGAAUGAAUCAAAGAACCAGGGACCAUUUGUUCUCAGUGUUCUAAGCUGACUUCUGCCUCAAAGAAGAUGUCGGCGGACCUCGGAGGACACAGGGAGGCUGUGUAGGAGAUUUGAUGGUGGGAGCCGGUUGGUGAGCGUGGACCUGCCGUGUGCUGAGAGGACGGGGUAAGAGUCUACAGACCGGAGCAAAGCAAGGAAAGCAGAGCCUGCAGAAGGAACAGGGCCCAUCCCACGCUUCGUCUCAGCCCAGCAAGACUUCUGACCUGUGCGACUGCGAGAUAACAAAUGUGUUGUUUUAAACCGGAAAAGUCCGAGGCUGUUUGUUUUAAUGGGAACGAGAAACCAGCACAACAUUCCUUGAGAAUCUGAGGUCAUCUCAGCAUUGUGCUGAGGCUUCCAAAUUUUCCCCCGCCCCUUUCCCUUCUGCCCACGGACUUCAGGUUGUGGCGCGGUGCUGGUCGGCACAGGUACUGCUUUCCUGCUAAGGACCAUCCAGGCCUGGGGGUCAGUGGCACUUGUGGACAACCUUGACAAGUGCCACCUGCUGCUUGCCCCAAUAGGACCUCAUCUUCCAUGAUUUAUUUCUUCAGCUGGAUAGUUCUGACCUCCCACAGGCUGGCAGGGUGUGCGUCUACAGGGCCCCUGUGUUGUCUACGAUGGGCAGGAGUGAUGGACUAGACCAUCUACAUGCAGCAUGCUCAUUCACUAACUGAGUGCCUAUGGGAUGGUGGAAGUGAGUCUAAUGAGACCAAGACGCAAAAUAUUUGACUCAAUGUCAUUGUAAUUAAUUGAAGUGGAUUCAUUAAUUUUGUUAAAUUUUUAUUUUAUGCUUAUGGAUGCUUUGCCUGUGUGUAUGUCUCUAUACCGUAUGCAUGCAGUGCCUGAUGAAGCCAGAAGAGGGCAUCAGAUCCCUGAGACUAGAGUUACAGAAGGUUGUGAGCCACUGUGUGGGUGCUGGGAACUGAACCCUGGUCAUGGGCAAGAGCAGCCAGUACUAUUAACCUCUGAGAUGUCUCUCCAGGACCUAUAGGCAAUUUCAAAUACCCCAUUUGUGUUUAAUAGUUACCACAUUGAAUAGCAAAACUAAGUUUUUACUGAAGUGUGUUGAUAAUGACCAACUGAAAUAGCUACCAGAUGUCUAUUUCCUUAACGUCAAGUCAGCCGAUUUACUUUAAAUAUUACAUUGGAUAUGAGGCUGUCACCUACAAUUUUAAACUCUAAAGAGCUGCAUCCACAAUAGACAGGAGAGAACAGCCAGCCCUUAGCUACAAGGUCCCUGAGCACAGAACCUUUCCCUUAGGAACUCAUGAAAGCAAGUGCCCUCCACUAAAGGUGUAGCCUGCUGUGCCUCUGGGGUAUGACUAAGCCACACUUGUUAGGUCUGAAGAUAUGUCCUUUGUAUGGUCAUUUCCAGCACCCCAUAUCCUCUGCUCUAGAAUGUAGAGAAUGACUGGGCAUUGCUCAUGGCUGUAUCCCCAUGCUGUUUUCUGUGGUCAGUCUCCCAUGACCUUCUGGGGCAUAAUUUAAAAAAGAGUAAGUGGAAAGUCACUGGUUGCAUUAACUAAGUGAGAUGUAGUGGCUUUGCUAGGGGAACACAGCAUUAAGUAAGAUACAGUAGCAGUUUUCUACAAAACACAGCCUUAAGUGAAAUAACAGUAACAGUUUUCUAGGGGAACACAACAUUAAGUGAGAUACAGUAGGAGUUUGCUAGGGAAACACAGCUUUAAGUGAGGUAACAGUAACAGUUUUCUAGGGGAACACAGCAUUAACCAAGUGAGAUACAAUAGCAGCUUUGCUAGGGGAACACAGCCUGAGCCCAGACUAGACAGCCAGGUGAGCUGAGUGACAGCAGUGCAAGCUGACAUGGUCCCCAUGACAGUACCCAGAUGGCUUAUGGAAGACUGCUGCUCCCUCCCUCUCCUGCCCACCUGGCUUCAGGAUUUAAAUCAAAGCCACGUAGGGAAAGUGGCAUCACAAUGUUAAGUUUACAGGGUUCACAUCUGACACUUCUCUCAUAAACAGCUACAGAGACCAUUUGUAAAUGCAUUAUAUGGCAUUAAGAGGUUGUGUUGCUGGUCCUUCCAGGAGUCAGGUCAGAUGACGAAGAUGGCCUAAGAUUCCAGAGAGCUGUGGGCUCCUUUGCUCAUGAAAUAAGUGAAUAACUUUAAAAUGCAAGUGAAUUUAGUAGUAACAGAUCUAUAAGAUGCCAAACUCAUCCAGGUUCCUGAACACUUCUGAUUGUCAGGUGAAAUACGUAUUUAAGCUCCUGCUUUCCUGCCUCAGAGGCGCUUCUCGGAGGGUUCAGAAUGAUGUGUCUUUUUGCUCAUUAGUCAAUCGUUUGCCUGACAGAAAUUGAGGGCCUCAGGAUAGUCAUAACAUGGCUGUAACGCUGUUUGAGAGUGAAUUAAGUCAUUUUACCCUCAAGGGCAGAAAAAUAGCCUCUUACUAUUCUGCUUCAGGCAUCACCUUUCCCUGAACACAGUCUGCCUCCCAUCAGGGUCCCAGGCUGGAGUGGCAGAUGUAGCCCCAAAGCAUUUGGUGUAACUCUGAUGGAGGCCCUCUGCCGAGAUUUCAGAAAUAGUGGCUUCAAUUACGACUUCUAAUUCAAAGCCCUAUAAAGAGGCUGUAUUUGGACCGGAAGGAGAGGCAUUCCUCAAGUGAGUAAUAAAAUAAACUCUUAAUGGUUUGCAUUUCCUGUGUCAUUAUUUACUUUAUCAAACUUGAAACCGGUACCAAGUAGAGCUUUAUGCCUCCCCCAUGCCAACCAAGACUCAGAACUGCUCAGUGCUUAAAGAAAGAGGAAAUGGGCCUAGACGAGGGAUCAGAAGGUCCUGAAUCUGAACGGCCACAGAUAAGCGAGCCUGGUGGAGUCUGGAGGGAGCUGCUCAUGGAAAACUCGUUCUAGUUGGCGACGGCAAAAUGCAUGCUGUUAUGUUUCCAAGAGGCAUGCAAAGGCGACCCUGCCCAGCCUUCCUACGUUUCAGGACACA